AUUGAACGCUGGCGGCAGGCCUAACACAUGCAAGUCGAACGAGUGGGGACGGGUGAGUAACACGUGGGUAACCUCCCAUCAGAGGGGAGAACACUUGGAAACAGGUGCUAAACCGAUAUUGAGGGCUGGACCCGCGGUGCAUUGUCUAGUUGGUGCGGUAACGGCUCACCAAGGACACGAUGCAUAGCCGACCUGGGAGGGUGAUCGGCCACACUGGGACUGAGACACGGCCCAGACUCCUACGGGAGGCAGCAGUAGGGAAUCUUCGGCAAUGGACGAAAGUCUGACCGAGCAACGCCGCGGGAGUGAAGAAGGUUUUCGGAUCGUAAAGCUCUGUUGUUAGAGAAGCGGUAUCUAACCAGAAAGCCACGGCUAACUACGUGCCAGCCGCCGCGGUAAUUC
rnacentral:rRNA from 1 species